GUGAAAAAAGUGUCAUUUGAAGUGUAGAAAGUCACUUUUGAUCAAAAGUACCGUAACAAAACUUGUUCCCAUUCAUCCUGUGUGUCCAGACACUCUGGUGCUCUUUAUAAGCUGAAAACGCUAUACAGCACUUGAGAAGACGCUAGGAGCAAAGGAAAGUGGUUUAUCUAACAAACUCAUAUAAUCAAUUGCCCGACGGACUCCAAUGAGAUAUUUUUCACAUAGUUAGACAUAAUACAGUACUAUGAAAUGUUUCGGACCUAAAAUAAGACUAAAUAUGAUUUUUUACAUUAAAAUGUAAAACUCAAUGAAAAGGUGAUAAAAGUGUCAUUUGAAGUGUAGAAAGUCACUUUUCAUCAAACGUACCAUAACAAAACUUGUUCCCAUUCAUCCUCUGUGUCCAUACACACUGGUGCUCUUUAUACGCUCAAAACGCUAUACAGCGCUUGAGAAGUCGCUAGGCGCAAAGGAAAGUGUUUUUCUAACAAACUCAUAUAAUUAAUUGCCCUCUGGACUCCAAUAUGAUAUUUUUCACAUAGUUAGACAUAAUAUAGUACUAUGAAAUGUUUCUGACCUAAAAUAAUACGAAAUAUAAUUGUUUACAUUAAAAUGUAAAAAUUGAUGAUAAAGUAUGAUAAGGUGAAAAACGUGUCAUUUGAAGUGUAGAAAGUCACUUUUCAUCAAAAGUACCAUAACAAAACUUGUUCUCAUUCAUCCUGUGUGUCCAUACACACCGGUGCUCUUUAUACGCUCAAAACGCUAUACAGCGCUUGAGAAGGCGCUAGGAGCAUAGGAAAGUGGUUUAUCUAACAAACUCAUAUAAUCAAUUGCCCGACGGACUCCAAUAGGAUAUUUUUCACAUAGUUAGACAUAAUACAGUACUAUGAAAUGUUUCUGACCUAAAAUAAGACGAAAUAUGAUUGUUUACAUGAAAUUGUAAAACUUGAUGAUAACGUAGGAUAAGGUGAAAAAAGUGUCAUUUGAAGUAUAGAAAGUCACUUUACAUCAAAAGUACCAUAAUAAAACUUGUUCUCAUUCAUCCUGUGUGUCCAUACACACUGGUGCUCUUUAUACUCUCAAAACGGUAUACAGCGCUUGAGAAGGCGCUAGGAGCAAAGGAAAGUGGUUUAUCUAACAAACUCAUAUAAUCAAUUGCCCGACGGACUCCAAUAUGAUAUUUUUCACAUAGUUAGACAUAAUACAGUACUAUGAAAUGUUUCUGACCUAAAAUAAGACGAAAUAUGAUUGUUUACAUUAAAAUGUAAAACGAUGAUAAUGUAUGAUAAGGUGAAUAAAUGCAAUUUGAAGUGUAGAAAGUCACUUUUCAUCAAAAGUACAAUAACAAAACUUGUUCCCAUUCAUCCUGUGUGUCCAGACACACUGGUGCUUUUUUUUACGCUCCAAAUAGUAUACAACGCUUGAGAAGGCGCUAGGAGCAAAGGAAAGUGGUUUUUCUAACAAAUUCAUAUAAUCAAUUGCCCGACCUACUCCAAUAUGAUAUUUUUCACAUAUUUACACAUAAUAUAGUACUAUGAAAUGUUUCUGACCUAAAAUAUUACGAAAUAUGAUUGUUUACAUUAAAAUGUAAAAGUUGAUGAUAAAGUGUGCUAAGGUGAAAAAAGUGACAGUUUAUGUCUAGAAAGUCACUUUUCAUCAAAAGUACAAUAACAAAACUACUUCCCAUUCAUCCUGUGUGUCCAGACACUCUGGUGAUCUGUAUACGCUCAAAACGCUAUACAGCGAUUGAGAAGGCGCUAGGAGCAAAGGAAAGUGGUUUUUCUAACAAACUCAUGUAAUCAAUUGCCCGACCUACUCCAAUAUGAUAUUUUUCACAUAUUUACACAUAAUAUGGUACUAUGAAAUGUUUCUGACCUAAAAUAUUACGAAAUUUGAUUGUUUACCUUAAAAUGUAAAAGUUGAUGAUAAAGUGUGCUAAGGUGAAAAAAGUGACAUUUUAUGUCUAGAAAGUCACUUUUUAUCAAAUGUGCCCUAACAAAACUUGUUCACAUUCGUCCUGUGUUUCCAUACACUUUGGUGCUCAUCAGACGCUGAAAACCUUAAACAGCGAUUUUCAAGCAUCUGAGAGCGAAGGAAAGUGUUUUUUCUAACAAACGCAUAUAAUUAAUUGCAUGACGUCCUCCAAUAUGAUAUUUUCCGAUAUUUAUGACAUACUAUAGUACUAUGACAUGUUUCUGACCUAAAAUGAUAAAAAAAUAUGAUUGAUUACCUUAAUAUUUAUAAGUUGAUAAUAAAGUAUAAUAAGGGGGGAAAAAACAGACAAUUGAAGUGUAGAAAGUCACUUUUCAUCAAAUGUGCCUUAACAAAACUUGUUCACAUUCGUCCUGUGUGUCCAUACAGACUGGUGCUCUUCAGACUUUGAAAACCCUAUACAGCGUAUAGCGCUAAUAUACAGCACUAAUAUAGUCUAUUAUAGUAUAUUAUAAACAUGCCAAACUAUCAUAUUAAGUCAUAAACAAGUCAACCAUCUCAUAUUAAGUCAAUAACAUGUGAAAUAUGUCAUAGUAUCAUAUUAAAGCAUGAACAAGUAACAUAUAUAAUUUUAAGUCAUAAGCAAGUGAAACAUCUCAUAUUGAGGUGGUUCACACGUUUAUGACUUAAUAUGAGAUAUUUCAC
ensembl:lncRNA